AGUAUUCUAGUUGUUUUUGUGUCAGACGAUAUGAAUAUUGUUCCAGUAGCUAAGAUUGUUAUGUCUACUUUUACAAUCUCCAAGUCAAGGGAUAUGAUGAGUUGCUUUAUGAUAUAGCGCUGCUAGUUAUCCUUUGAGUUGUUUGGGCAGAUUCUCUUGUUGCCUAAUGUUGCUUUUGGUAGGAACUUGGCAUCAACCUUAGAGUUUUGAUUUUAGACUGAUGGCCGGUUGUAAAAAUCUAUUAAUUUUUUUGUUGAUAUUUUUACUUUUCUCUGGUUAAUCUGAUAACUCUUCUGUUCACUGAUGAUGAUGAUGCGAUCUUGCUUGUAUUUUGCUGGUUACUACCAAGAAAUAUCACCAUAAAGCUGAGCAUUUCUGGCAUUUAAACCUUUCAGCAUCGGCUUAAUGCAUCUAGUGAGAAUUUUGCUUUAUUCAAAGUGGUCUUCCCUACUAAAGGUGUACUCUUGCCUGUCUUUUGCUGAUUGUGUUAUGGUGUUAGCAAAAUAUUACAAAUUACUUGAAAGUAACUGGAACUCAUGUGAUAUGAUGUCUUUUUGAUGAAUCUGGUAACCACUUUGCUUGUUUGAACUGAAUUUUCUUCUAGAAUUAGCACUUUCAUGUCUCCUCAUUUUCCUUCGAAUCAGCGCUUUUGUAUCUGCUCAUCACUUCUAUCCAGACAAAGUGUGGUUCUUCCCUAAAAAGACAGUAUAUUUCUCAGAUUGCUGUAUCAUGAGCUUCAUUUUUUUUACGUCCCACUUGAACUAAUGAUAAUCUUGGUCCUUCUGGACUCUAGUUUUGUCCUUUUUCCAUUGGUGUCCUUAUUUUCUGACUCUAUGCUUCAUAGAUUGUAACCUAUUGUAGGCAUAAUUUCUUUAAGUUACUACUAGUAUUUGGGAAUUUUCUCAUCUGAUCCAUCUUUAUUGUGCUUUUGACUGCAUAGCCUUGUUAAUCUUCUGCUCUCUGUUUCCAUUAGAAACCCUGUUCUAAAGUGUUCAUUUAUUUUUCUUUAAGCCCAACUAGCAUGUGAUGUUAAAAUAUGAGGGCUCUAAAAGGAAUAAGUUAAUCCGUCAGGCUCUCCUUUCUGUAUUAUCCAAGGAUACCUUCUACUUAGGUGGGACAAGUUCAAUUUGAACUUCAUAAAAGCUGUAUUUUAUUUAAUGGUGGAUCAGAUGCUUUCUAAAGUCCUAUUGUAUUUUUCUGACAUGGAGCUACAUUAACUUUCUUGCACAUCUUAUAACACUCAUAUAGGCUUCCUAUUGUAUUUUUCUGACGUGGACCUACAUUAACUUUCUUGCACAUCUUAUAACACUCAUAUAGGCUUCUUAUUGUAUUUUUCUGACGUGGACCUACAUUAACUUUCUUGCACAUCUUAUAACACUCAUAUAGGCUUGUAUUGGAACCUUUAGGGUCAUGAGUCUUAGAAAUCGUCCUGUCACUAUUGUGAAAGAAACUGAAUAUGAUGCCCUUUAUCAGGUUCUGAUGGAAUUUCAAAGCAAAAGUAAUUGAUGCCCC
rnacentral:lncRNA from 1 species